rnacentral:lncRNA from 1 species
CUCUGGCCUACCUUCCUCUUUAGCAUAGGCAGUAUGCUCUGGAUGAAGGUCUGGAAGGAGAGGAUGACUUUUGCAGGUUUUAUGGCUGGUUUUGAGGGGAGGGAUUCUCAUUUCUAUGGCUAUCCUUGGUGAAGAGGUGUUCUGGUCCUUGUGGCUUGCUUUGGGGGAGAAUGAGGGCAGGAGGACAGGAGAAGGUCAGAGUGAAUUUGUUUCUGAGGCCUUUCAGUCUCCUUUAGUUUAAAGGACUUGGCCUGCCAAAGCACUGCAUUUCAGCGUAUUGUUUUCUGAACCCCGCAACAGGGCCAUGGAAAUCCUGGGAGCAGCAGAGGAUGUAGGAAUCCAGAUGCCACCUUUGAGUGGAAAUGGCCCCUGCUGCACACGAGUAACCAGAAGCCCCUCGCUCCAGGUCACUCAACAAGCACAGGACAUAGCCCGGCACACAAGUCUAGCCUGCGAAGGCUUUGGGAACACCUUCCUCUGGAUAGACCCUUUCACUCAGUUUUCUUAAUACAACAAAGACAACCUCUAAACAAAAACUUACAGAAACAGUAGGAAAACAGAACUAAGAGAAGAGUGAAGAGAAGUCUAACCAUCCAGCCUUUUCUAGCAAAGUCCUAGGAUCAUUUCAGACAUACAACAGAUGAUGAGAAGAAUGAGCUACUGUGUCAGCAUUGGGGUCCUGCGGUACCUGCUUUCAGCACAAGAUAAGAAGAGACGCCUGAGGCUCACCCCUGGCCCG